rnacentral:piRNA from 1 species
ACAGGGCAGGAACCUGGAGGCAGG